UAGAGUUUGAUCCUGGCUCAGAUUGAACGCUGGCGGCAGGCCUAACACAUGCAAGUCGAACGGUAGCACAGAGAGCUUGCUCUCGUGUGACGAGUGGCGGACGGGUGAGUAAUGUCUGGGAAACUGCCUGAUGGAGGGGGAUAACUACUGGAAACGGUAGCUAAUACCGCAUAACGUCGCAAGACCAAAGAGGGGGACCUUCGGGCCUCUUGCCAUCAGAUGUGCCCAGAUGGGAUUAGCUAGUAGGUGGGGUAACGGCUCACCUAGGCGACGAUCCCUAGCUGGUCUGAGAGGAUGACCAGCCACACUGGAACUGAGACACGGUCCAGACUCCUACGGGAGGCAGCAGUGGGGAAUAUUGCACAAUGGGCGCAAGCCUGAUGCAGCCAUGCCGCGUGUAUGAAGAAGGCCUUCGGGUUGUAAAGUACUUUCAGCGGGGAGGAAGGCGAUAAGGUUAAUAACCUUGUCGAUUGACGUUACCCGCAGAAGAAGCACCGGCUAACUCCGUGCCAGCAGCCGCGGUAAUACGGAGGGUGCAAGCGUUAAUCGGAAUUACUGGGCGUAAAGCGCACGCAGGCGGUCUGUCAAGUCGGAUGUGAAAUCCCCGGGCUCAACCUGGGAACUGCAUUCGAAACUGGCAGGCUAGAGUCUUGUAGAGGGGGGUAGAAUUCCAGGUGUAGCGGGAAAUGCGUAGAGAUCGGAGGAAUACCGGUGGCGAAGGCGGCCCCCGGACAAAGCACGACGAUUCAGGUGCGAAAGCGGAGCCCCCUA
rnacentral:rRNA from 1 species